rnacentral:rRNA from 1 species
ACUAAAUAGAUACCCAGGUAGUCCACGCCCUAAACGAUGUCUACUAGUUGUUGGUGGAGUAAAAUCCAUGAGUAAACGCAGCUAAACGCGUGAAGUAGACCGCCUGGGGAGUACGGUCGCAAGAUUAAAAACUCAAAGGAAUUGACGGGGGCCCGCACAAGCGGUGGAUUAUGUGGAUUAAAUUCGAUGCAACGCGAAAAACCUUACCUGGCCUUGACAUGCCACUAACGAAGCAGAGAUGCAUUAGGUGCCCGUAAGGGAAAGUGGACACAGGUGCUGCAUGGCUGUCGUCAGCUCGUGUCGUGAGAUGUUGGGUUAAGUCCCGCAACGAGCGCAACCCUUGCCAUUAAUUGCCAUCAUUUAGUUGGGCACUUUAAUGGGACUGCCGGUGACAAACCCGGAGGAAGGUGGGGAUGACGUCAAGUCCUCAUGGCCCUUAUGGCCAGGGCUUCACACGUAAUACAAUGGUCGGUACAGAGAGUUGCCAACCCGCGAGGGGGUAGCUAAUCUCAGAAAGCCGAUCGUAGUCCGGAUUGUUCUCUGC